GUGCCAGCAGCCGCGGUAAUACAGAGGGUGCGAGCGUUGUUCGGAAUUACUGGGCGUAAAGCGCGCGCAGGCGGCCUUUUAAGUCUCGUGAUGAAAUGCCGGGGCUCAACCCCGUGCCCGCCGGAGAUACUGGGAGGCUGGAGACGAGUAGAGGCAAGCGGAAUUCCGGGUGUAGCGGUGGAAUGCGUAGAGAUCCGGAAGAACACCGGAGGCGAAGGCGGCUUGCUGGGCUCUGUCUGACGCUGAGGCGCGAAAGCGUGGGGAGCGAACAGGAUUAGAAACCCUUGUAGUCC
rnacentral:rRNA from 1 species